rnacentral:rRNA from 1 species
AGUGGCGGACGGGUGAGUAACGCGUGAGAAUCUGCCUUGGGGUCGGGGACAACCACUGGAAACUGUGGCUAAUACCGGAUAAGCCGAUUGGUGAAAGAUUUAUUGCCCGAAGAGGAGCUCGCGUCUGAUUAGCUAGUUGGUGAGGUAAGAGCUCACCAAGGCAGCGAUCAGUAGCUGGUCUGAGAGGACGAUCAGCCACACUGGGACUGAGACACGGCCCAGACUCCUACGGGAGGCAGCAGUGGGGAAUUUUCCGCAAUGGGCGAAAGCCUGACGGAGCAAGACCGCGUGAGGGAGGAAGGCUCUUGGGUUGUAAACCUCUUUUCUCAGGGAAGAAGCUCUGACGGUACCUGAGGAAUCAGCCUCGGCUAACUCCGUGCCAGCAGCCGCGGUAAUACGGAGGAGGCAAGCGUUAUCCGGAAUUAUUGGGCGUAAAGCGUCCGCAGGUGGCGAUUCAAGUCUGCUGUCAAAGCACGGGGCUUAACUCCGUAAAGGCAGUGGAAACUGAAUAGCUAGAGUGCCGUAGGGGUAGAGGGAAUUCCCGGUGUAGCGGUGAAAUGCGUAGAGAUCGGGAAGAACAUCGGUGGCGAAAGCGCUCUACUGGACGGCAACUGACACUCAGGGACGAAAGCUAGGGGAGCGAAUGGGAUUAGAUACCCC